UUACGGCCACAUCACGUUGAAACACCGUUCCCCAUACGAUCAGCGAAGUUAAGCAACACCUAAUCUGGUCAGUACAUAGAUGGAUGACUGCUUGGGAAUACCAAGUGCUGUAAG